AUUGAACGCUGGCGGAAUGCUUUACACAUGCAAGUCGAACGGCAGCACGGACUUCGGUCUGGUGGCGAGUGGCGAACGGGUGAGUAAUGUAUCGGAACGUGCCCAGUCGUGGGGGAUAACGUAGUGAAAAUUACGCUAAUACCGCAUACGAUCUAUGGAUGAAGGCGGGGGAUCGCAAGACCUCGCGCGAUUGGAGCGGCCGAUAUCCGAUUAGGUCGUUGGUGGGGUAAAGGCCCACCAAGCCAACGAUCUGUAGCUGGUCUGAGUGGACGGCCAGCCACACUGGAACGGAGACACGGUCGAGACUCCUACGGGAGGCAGCAGUGGGGAAUUUUGGACAAUGGGCGAAGGCCUGAUCCAGCCAUUCCGCGUGCAGGAUGAAGGCCCUCGGGUUGUAAACUGCUUUUGUACAGAACGAAAAGGUUUCUACUAAUACUAGGAGCUCAUGACGGUACUGUAAGAAUAAGCACCGGCUAACUACGUGCCAGCCGCCGCGGUAA
rnacentral:rRNA from 1 species